GCAGACACAUUCCAGCCAAUCAGCAGCAGACCCUCCCUCCCAGACCCUCCCACCUCCUGGACAGCAUCCAUUUUACAUUCAUUGUGAAGCUGCAUUCUUAGUGAGCUGUACAGGAGGUGGGAGGGUCUGGGAGGGAGGGUCUGCUGCUGAUUGGCUGGAAUGUGUCUG
rnacentral:miRNA from 1 species